rnacentral:rRNA from 1 species
UACGAAGGGGGCGAGCGUUGUUCGGAUUUACUGGGCGUAAAGGGCGCACAGGCGGCGAGUUUUGUCAGGCGUGAAAGCCCCGGGCUCAACCUGGGAAUUGCGCUUGAAAACGGGCUUGCUAGAGAUCGGGAGAGGAGCGUGGAAUUCCCAGUGUAGAGGUGAAAUUCGUAGAUAUUGGGAAGAACACCGGUGGCGAAGGCGGCGCUCUGGACCGAGACUGACGCUGAGGCGCGAAAGCGUGGGGAGCAAACAGG